UUAGUUAAGAGCCACCAAAGUAAAUUCUACGCCCGACCUCUCAGACCGCUUCAACUAUAGAGAAUGCCAUUCAUUUUUUAAAAGUGCACGCUGGCACAUGUGAAUUUCUGACCGCUGCAUACCUUCACCCACAGAAAUUAGAGGUUUCUAUGCCUUCUCCGAACCGCUCCACCUUGCCCCUUUCACAUUUAUCACUAAUCCUAAUCUUCCAGGGGAAAUGGGGAGUGCGGACUUGACAGCUGGCAACCAAGAGCAGUUAAACUAGAUCUUUCUUACCGCCAUGUUUAAAUUUGUAGCGUGUCUCCUUGUCAAGUAGAGGCGUGCACAUCCACUGUAGAUUGCAGUUGACAAGAGCUGUUCCACUCUCAUCACCCAUGCCCACAGGCAACAUUUGCCCAAUCUACAUGAACAGCGGACAUCCUGGAUCCGCACACGGAGAGCUGGGAAAAUUCCUUUCCAUACUGAGAGACGCUGCCAUCCAACAAGCUGCGAACAACCAGUGACAAAGGCGGCGGAUCCGUACCAUCACCAAAUAAACAUCCCCAACCUGUUCCAUCGCAACAGAAGAGAAUCAAAGCCCACUUUGCCACCACAUGGGGGUUUAGAGCAGCUCCCCUGGACACCCCACUCCCGUGCCAAAGACGCAGCAGUACCGUCUAUCUGAGCCACUUUACUCCAGAGGAGGUGCUCCGCAAGGCAAAGCGAUGCAAAAACACUUUACCUGGCGACGAUCGCAUCACCUACAAGCACUGGUUAUGUGUAGACCCAGAGUGCAAAUUCCUUGCGGCCAUUUUCAAGGCAUGCCUCCACUACACAGAAAUGCCCGAUGAGUGGAGGCUAUCAUGAACUGUGCUCACCUCAGAGAAAGGAGACCCAUGAAUAGUGACCAACUGGAGACCUAUAUCCUCCAUUCAUACGAUCGACAAACUCUUCACGGGUUGUCUGGCAGUGCAUGUGCAAUCUUGGAUCAUCUCCAAAGACAUACUUUCAAAAAGCCCGAGCUACAGCCUGCAAUCAAAGAUGAACGAAAAAAAGCUCGAGCUAACCAAGGUGACCUAUGUCAACACCACUUAGAUCAAAGUCCUCUUCAUGUCCUCCUCUCCGCACACGCCACACUAGCUGUUCGACACAAUCGCACGACGACGAUCAGCCAACAUGGGCAGCACGCACUCCACGAGCUCGAGAAUAACUUCGAUUUUAAGGUACAUAGCAUGUGAAAAACUGAAACUGCACUUUCAUGCAUCAGACUUUGUCACCAACUCUCACACCACGAUAAAGUUUCUGGAAGAACGGCCCAAGUCUUCAUCUUUAGUUUUCUUUUUUUUUUAAGCUACCCAACCUAUAUAUCUGGACACCAGUUCAUCACACAUCACCUUCUCCCAAGUGGGCUAGAAUUCAGAAUAAGGCCCUAUAAAAGAAGAUUUAAAGAAUUCACCAGAAACAAGGACAGAACAAGAAGAGAGGAAUGCUGCAUCGUCCUGUGUAGAUUUGAAAGCCACGCUGCCUGGUGUCUGCAAUAUUGAAUUUUCUACAGCAACUGUGAACCACCAACGUGCAAUGUUUGAGGGUGAUCCAUCACCCCACGUGAGAUAUUCUGUUACAGUGCCCUCUGACCUCUUCGAUUCUGUUUCUGCUGGUAUGGUGAAGGUCAGAUAUCUUGGCUUCUUCUCUCUUCGCUGUCUCAACAGAACCUGUGACCGUCUCGGCAUAUGUUACACUUUCUGUUGUUGUUUGAAAAGCUUGUAUUUCCUGGAGCUACGAGUGUGUCAAAGACAAUGGCAGUACUAAAGUUUGCAUGCCCCUGGCUCGGUGAGCUCCCGGAGGACACUCUGUUAACAAGUGAUGGUGACUUGUUCAACCUGCAGAUAAAAUGGUUAAAAAGCAAGCGAGCUGGUGGAAGAUAAAAUGGUUAAAAAGCAAGCGAGCUGGUGGUUUUUGAGACUUUGUGUUGUGUCGUCUGUUUUCGUCUUUUUCCCAGUCUCGGGUUUUCGUCAUGGAUCUUGUUCAACCUGUUUUAUGGGCAACCUUGUACCAGCAAGAAUGAGUCAGUACAGUGCAGAACUUUUUUAUUUCUUUACAGUUAUUUUGAAUUCCAUCUCGCCCAUGCAUAGAACCUCACAAGAGGAUAAAUCUGCCCGACCAGCCAGCUCCGUGCCAUGUUUGUUGGAUUCAAUCGACCUGUGAGACUCUUGUGCAGCUGAAAUGUAGUUGAUGCAGCAACAAACACUGCAUUAAAUAACCUCUGUGAGGUAAA